CUUUCCUCAUAUUAAUCUAUAUUCUAUUUGUGGUGAUAUUCCUUAUGUUUGGAGGCCUUUGAGCUUUGACUACAUUUAUGUGAAAAUUCUGAAGAAAAAAAAAAGAAAUGGUCUAGAGAGUUUAAGUUUAAGCUAGUCUCUAGACCUUGCUGCCACAUGGGGUUUUUGUUUGUGGUUGGCUAUAAUGGCUCCACCUCUGUCAUUCUCUGUCAUGUAAGCUUCUCUUGUUUUCCUCACUUCCUUUUUAUGUCUAUUCUUGACUGUUUCUCUUAAACUUUUCAUGAAACUUUAGGAAAUGCAAGGUUAGUUUAUUGAGUAUGUAUAGUUUCUGAGCUUAUUUUUAGAAGCUUGUUUGUCUUCUAGAGCUAGAUAGUAGUUUAGGAAAUACACUUGGGCAUGGGCAGACCGUUCGUGUGACAGCCGUGAGCAGUGCCUCUUUCUCGGAGUGACAACCCAGGCGAACGCCUUCAGCAACAGUAAUUCAGCUUUCAAAAUAUAGCAUUAUGACUUGUUCUCUUACUCUUUCUGUUGCUGGCUAUGACCGUUUCUAUUAUAUGAUUAUCAGGGUUACACAGGUGACAAGGAGAGCCUGGGAAAGUGUGAACAGUAUUUUAUGGAGUUGAUGAAAGUUCCUAGAGUGGAAUCAAAAUUGCAAGUGUUCUCUUUCAAGAUUCAGUUCAACUGCCAGAUUUCAGAAUUUAAAAAGAGUUUGAACACUGUGAACUCUGCAUGUGAAGAGUUUUGAGAAUCUGUUUUGACUUGGGUAGUUUUAUGCUCUGUUUAAUAAGUCCGAAAUUCCCUCAAAUUAAAAGAUAUUAUGAAGAAAAUUCUUUUUCUGGGUAAUACUUUGAACCAAGGGACUACAAGAGACUUAGUUCCUUUUAUGGCCAUAAAUCCGGAAGUUUAUCGAAGUAUUAGAUAAUGAGAAAAUCCAAUGAGGGCUGUUGCAGCAAUCAGAGCAUUAAACGGAACUUACACAAUGAGGGGUUGUGAUAAGCCAAUAGCUGUACGUUUUGCGGAACCUAAGGAAGUUAGGAAUGGAGAAGCAAGGAACAAUAAGAUGUUUAGUGGCAUGCCCUUUGGCCCCCAUUCUCAAGAACCAGUUGUUAGGACAACAACCAACCUGGGUGAUUCCAUGGUGGGGCAUAACCGGCCUAAUGCACCUCAUCUGGCACAACAUUUCUCGUUAACUAAACAACCACAAGCAGAUUCUUCGAUGGAAAACCAGGAACCUCCGCAGUUAUCUCAGAUGCAGAAUAGAAAAGCAAGUUCUCAACAAUUUCAAGGUGAAGUUCGUGAUUUUCCAAGACAGUUGCAUGUGAUGCAACCAUUGAAACAAAUGCUAGAGCAGCACAAGUGGUCUCAGACUAGUGGACAACCGGUAUUCCGAACCAAUAAUAAUCUUAGCUAGUUAAUUUGCAUUUUUUUUAGUAUUGCAUGUUAUAUGUUGAAGUUUUUAUUUUUUAAUAACUUCUAUCUAUAUGUCCCACUUUUGGUGUUCAAUUGAGUGCGGCCAGAAGAGUGCUUGCAGCAUCUGAAGGGGUUUAUUCAAUAGAAUAUUAUAUUGUAUUCCUUCUGCUUCAUUUUUUUUUUAAAUUAAGAACUUUAUCUAUGUUAUUUUAAUGAAAUGUUUAAUGCAACCUCUACCAACUGGAAGUAGUUCUCGGGAAGUUGCUUACAAUAUUCCCAGAGCUGCAGUGCCUGCAAAUCCUCAGAUGCCUGAACUUCCAGAAUGUGAUUGGAGUGAGCAUACCUGCCCUGAUGGGCAUAAGUAUUAUUAUAAUUGUGUCACUCGUGAAAGCUUGUGGGACAAGCCCAAGGAAUAUGGUUUGUUUGAGGAACAGUUAAAGAAUGAGAGACAGCAGCAAACUGUUGCCCACAAGCUUCAGUCUUCUUCCUUGGUUCUCUCUAAACAACAACCUGCUCAAACACAAGAAAUUCAUUGCCAAUCUCAUGUUGACCAUCAAAAUCUCCAACUAGAAAAACCUGCUCUAUCUGCGCUGGUAUAUUGAGAUGAUUUCUUUGGAGCAAUUCUUGACAACAUUUGUAGUUGAGGCCUUUAGAAUGGAAGAAUUUAUUUCACUAAUUUUUGUAUACAUUUCUUGUUUUGUAUUUAGUGAUAAAGGAAUAUGAAUUGGGCAUAAAUUAUGUUGUAAUAUGAUUUCUUUAAGCCUAGACUAGUAGACUAAAUAUAGUAAU